rnacentral:rRNA from 1 species
CUGAUGCACGAAAGCUAGGGGAGCAAACAGGAUUAGAUACCCUGGUAGUCCUAGCCCUAAACGAUGAUUGCUUGGUGUGUUGGGUACCCAAUCCCAACGUGCCGAAGCUAACGCGAUAAGCAAUCCGCCUGGGGAGUACGGUCGCAAGACUGAAACUCAAAGGAAUUGACGGGGGCCCGCACAAGCGGUGGAGCAUGUGGUUCAAUUCGACGCAACGCGAAGAACCUUACCUGGGCUCGAAAUGUAGUGGACCGGGGUAGAAAUAUCCCUUUUCGCAAGAACUGCUAUAUAGGUGCUGCAUGGCUGUCGUCAGCUCGUGUCGUGAGAUGUUGGGUUAAGUCCCGCAACGAGCGCAACCCUUAUUGCCAGUUGCCAUCAUUCAGUUGGGCACUCUGGCGAAACCGCCCCGGAUAACGGGGAGGAAGGUGGGGAUGACGUCAAGUCCUCAUGGCCUUUAUGUCCAGGGCUACACACGUGCUACAAUGGUCGGUACAAACCGUCGCAAACCUGUGAAGGGGAGCUAAUCGGAAAAAGCUGACCUCAGUUCGG